rnacentral:rRNA from 1 species
AUGUUGAGGCCACCGCACCGACUCGUGAGCCACCGCCGGCUGCUGGGCACGUCAGCGUCCGCGCCGCUGGCGGGCGACGAGGCAGCUGCGGCGCAUGGCUCCAGCCCGAACUCCGUGAAGAUCAUGGUGUCCGUUCUGGUGGUGGUCAUCUUCUGCACGCUCCUCUACUGCGUCUACUGCUGGCGCUGGCGGAAGCGCAACGCCGUCAGGAGAACGCAGAACGAGAACAUGACGCCGCUGUCUAGGUCGAUCUCGGAGCUGCCGCUCAUGGACCUGGCCUCCAUCGACGCCGCCACCGGCAACUUCGCCAGGGCCAACAAGCUCGGCGAGGGCGGCUUCGGCCCGGUAUACAGAGGCGUCAUGGCGUGCGGCGCGGAGAUCGCAGUGAAGCGGCUGUCGGCGCGGUCGCGGCAGGGCGCGGCGGAGUUCCGGAACGAGGUGGAGCUGAUCGCCAAGCUGCAGCACCGCAACCUGGUGCGGCUGCUAGGCUGGUGCGCCGAGCGCGACGAGAAGCUGCUCGUCUACGAGUACUUGCCCAACGGCAGCCUCGACGCCUUCCUCUUUGACACCAGCAAGAGCGCCGAGCUAGACUGGAAUAGCAGGCACAACAUCAUCAUCGGCAUUGCCCGUGGGUUGCUCUACCUCCAUGAGGACUCACUGCUCAAGGUCAUUCACCGAGACCUCAAGCCAAGUAAUGUUCUCCUCGACAACAAGAUGAACCCCAAGAUCUCCGACUUUGGCUUGGCUAGGAUCUUCAAGGACGAAUGCAAUGGUGUCAACACGGGACACAUCGUCGGGACCUAUGGGUACAUGGCACCGGAAUUUGUGAUGGAUAGUGUCUUCUCAGCAAAAUCAGAUGUUUUUGGCUUUGGAGUCCUCCUACUAGAGAUCUUGAGUGGACAACGGAAUAGCAUGUCAUACCUUGAGGAGCACCGACAAUCCCUCAUCCAAGAUGCAUGGAAGUUCUGGAUUGAAGAUCGGGCAAAUGAAUUUAUUGAUCGUGCACUUGGGCAAUCUUACUCAAGGGACGAGGCAUGGCGUUGCUUCCAAGUCGGCCUCCUCUGCGUGCAAGAUGACCCCGACAUUCGACCAACCAUGUCAAAUGUCCUUCUAAUGCUCGUCAGUGAACAAAUGAGCCUGCCAGCACCAUCUAGGCCGGUGAGAAACGUCCCAUUGUUAGCGCCAUCGGCCAUGUUAAGGAGUGAACCGUUGGUUUCUCAUAAGUCGAUCAACUAUGCCUCGAUAACUGCUAUCCAGCCGCGAUGA